rnacentral:rRNA from 1 species
GACGAAGGUCCGGGUUCUCUCGGAUUGACGGUAGGUGGAGAAGAAGCACCGGCCAACUACGUGCCAGCAGCCGCGGUAAUACGUAGGGUGCGAGCGUUGUCCGGAAUUACUGGGCGUAAAGAGCUCGUAGGUGGUUUGUCGCGUUGUUCGUGAAAUCUCACGGCUUAACUGUGAGCGUGCGGGCGAUACGGGCAGACUAGAGUACUGCAGGGGAGACUGGAAUUCCUGGUGUAGCGGUGGAAUGCGCAGAUAUCAGGAGGAACACCGGUGGCGAAGGCGGGUCUCUGGGCAGUAACUGACGCUGAGGAGCGAAAGCGUGGGGAGCGAACAGGAUUAGAUACCCUGGUAGUCCACGCCGUAAACGGUGGGUACUAGGUGUGGGUUUCCUUCCUUGGGAUCCGUGCCGUAGCUAACGCAUUAAGUACCCCGCCUAGGGAGUACGGCCGCAAGGCUAAAACUCAAAGGAAUUGACGGGGGCCCGCACAAGCGGCGGAGCAUGUGGAUUAAUUCGAUGCAACGCGAAGAACCUUACCUGGGUUUGACAUGCACAGGACGCGUCUAGAGAUAGGCGUUCCCUUGUGGCCUGUGUGCAGGUGGUGCAUGGCUGU